rnacentral:rRNA from 1 species
UAGGGAAUAUUGCACAAUGGGCGAAAGCCUGAUGCAGCAACGCCGCGUGCGCGAUGAAGGCCUUCGGGUCGUAAAGCGCUUUUAUGAGGGAUGAGAAAGGACAGUACCUCAGGAAUAAGUCUCGGCUAACUACGUGCCAGCAGCCGCGGUAAAACGUAGGAGGCGAGCGUUAUCCGGAUUCACUGGGCGUAAAGCGCGUGCAGGCGGUUCGGUAAGUUGGUUAUGAAAGCUCCUGGCUUAACUAGGAGAGGUUAUCCAAUACUACCGGGCUAGAGAGUGGUAGAGGAAGAUGGAAUUCCAGGUGUAGUGGUGAAAUGCGUAGAUAUCUGGAGGAACACCAGUGGCGAAAGCGAUCUUCUGGACCAUUUCUGACGCUCAGACGCGAAAGCUAGGGUAUAAACG